GACAACGCUUUUCAUCCCCUUUUCUCAAUUACACUGUUUCAGGUAUCCUUCCACUUGGUUCUCCCCUUUUUUAGGCCAUAGGAACUUUACACUUGCACAAUUAGGCACUUGUAUACACAUUCAUUCCAAGAUUACAGCAGAAAGUAGCAACUGCAAACUGGUUUUUGUUCCUCUAUCACUUCAUUGGCAUAAUGAAACAGUGUGGGAUAAAUUGGUAGCAUGAAAAGGGAUUCUAACAGUUGCUCCACACAAAACCUUCUGCGCCAACAAGGAAGAAAUUGGCAAUGCGUAGAACUUAGCAGUUGAAUAAACAAAGAAUUUUAAGAUUAAACUGUAAACUUGUUUAGUUAAAAUCUCUAAUAAACUCUGCUGAGAGGCAGAGACUAAAAGGAUGAUUGGCAUUUCUGUUCUCCAAAGAAAAAAGAAAAGGAAAGUGAUGUACCUUCCAUUUGUUUUAAGCAAAGAAUAAGAGAAAGUUGAUUGCUUUUUCAC
rnacentral:lncRNA from 1 species